rnacentral:rRNA from 1 species
CCCUUAGAUGUUCUGGGCCGCACGCGCGCUACACUGAUGCAUUCAACGAGUCUAAAACCUGCUCUGAUAGGGGUGGGUAAUCUUUUGAAUGUGCAUCGUGAUUGGGAUAGAUGAUUGCAAUUUUUCAUCUUCAACGAGGAAUGCCUAGUAAACGCAAGUCAUCAGCUUGCAUCGAUUACGUCCCUGCCCUUUGUACACACCGCCCGUCGCUCCUACCGAUUGAAUGAUCCGAUGAAUAUCAUGGAUUGAGGAUGCAAGCAGGUUCGCCUGUCUUCAUCUUCGAGAAGUGAAGUAAAUCUUAUCAUUUAGAGGAAGGAGAAGUCGUAACA